CCUAAACUGUUCUAACUGUGUUUUUUUUUUCAACUGAAACCUUCUUAGAUUUUCCUUUUCCCCGAAAAGUAGUUUUCUCAAAGCAAAUUCAUGCUCUCUUCUUUAAGAGCCCUUUAAAAUGGAGCCUCCCGUGAACCUAUACUGAACCAAAACCCCCUCUCAUUGUUAAUCCGCUCCCUGCAAAACCCCACUCAUUUUACCAUGUUUUGCUCAUCCUGAUUCACUCUUUUCCUCUCGCUCCUUUGCCUUUCGACUUCUUCUGCUGAUUUUGCGUUGAAUUCAGCUAAGGCGUUCACUUUCGUAAUAAAGUCCAUCUUUUCCUCAGAGAAGCUCUCAGCUGAGAAGCUUUUAUAUUUGUGUAGCACUCAUGGAGGUCAAAGUAAGUUCGUUAGAGAAGAAAGAAGCAAAUGAAGUUGUCCUUAUGAUUUCAGGCGUUGAAUGUCAAGGCAGAGGUUCUUCACCAAAACCGAACACUGAGCCAAUAGAGCUUGAAAAUCCUCUAUCAAGUUCACAAAUCUCCAAUUUGACAAGCCCCUCUGCUCUGGAGCUCACUCAGUCGAUCCCGACUCCGAGUGAGCUUCUGAAUAUCCAGACCAGAAAGUCCAUCUCAAGCUCUACAAAUGAGAAGCUGAAAUAGAGAUCCAUGGAACCGCCGCAUCCUAGUGAUACAAGUGCUAGUGCAUCUAAGGGCGCUGUGGAACUGGCGCUGAGCAAGUCUCCAGUCGCUUCGGUUCCAUCACCGGCUGUAGAGGAGGAAGACGAUGAGGAUGUGUGCGAGACUGUGAAUCCCAAGUCCCAGGUGAUGUCAGGCAGAAUGAAGUUUAUUUUGGCUCAGCUGGUCAUGUUUGUGUGCAUCACAGUGCUUCUGAUUGCAAGUUUAACCAUUCGUAAUCUGCGAAAUAUAGUUAUUUGGCAUGUGCAUUUGUGGAGAUGGUGUUUGCUGAUGUGGGCAAUCUUUUGUGGCAAGCUGGCGACAGAUUGGUUGGUCACAUUAAUGGUUUGGUUGAUUGAGGAGAAGUAUCUGCUAAAAAAAAAUGUUUUGUACUUUCUAAUUGCAUUAAAGCACAGUGCUGAGGUGUCCCCUGGUUGUGUCUGGUCAUUUUAGCUUGGUUUUUGCUGAUAAAUCAUGGAGUGAAAUGCUCGAGACACACGACCAAGAUUCUGAACUGGGUCGCGAGGGCCCUCUUGUCUUGUCUUGUAGGAGCUGCCUUAUGGCUAAUCAAAUCAGUCCUGAUAACGUCGCUUUGUGUUUCUUUUCAACACAAAAUAUUCUUUAAUCGCGUGCGAGAUUGCUUCUUUCAACACUAUGUGAUAAGGCAACUUUCCGGCCCCGUGGUUCCAAGUCUCAAAGUGAAUAUAGAGAAGCUUAUAAAGAUGAAGCUGGAUAAAGUUUCUCCUUGGAAGAUUAUAAAUCUUGCCGAUUCCCUAGAUGAGGCAGAGCAACGACAUAAGGAGAGGACUGAUGGACAAGAAGCCAAGGAUGCUGCUAAAAAGAUAUUAAAAAACGUAGCCAAGUCAGGGAGCCAGUUUAUCGAGGGGAAUGAGCUUUUGCGCUUCAUGCCGAAGGAACACGUAGAGAAAUUAUUUGCUUUCUUUCCCAAAGCAAAAGAAACUCGAAAAAUCAGGAAGUUGUUUUUCAAGAGCUGGCUGGAUUAUUGACGACGCCAGUGCAAAUCUUCAUUUCGUCGCAGCUUUUGCUUUUUGAGUACAUUUUUGGAACGCUGCCAAAGACUUGCUCGAAGCUAUCUUGUUUGUAUUCGUGAAGCAUCCGUUCGAUGUGGGUGACUGCUGCGUUGUCGAUGGGGUUGAGGUUGAGGAAAUGAAUAUCAUGACUACUGUCUUCCUGACAAACGACGGCGAAAAGAUAUCUUACCCAAAUUCAGCUCUGGCCUCUAAAUGCAUCAGCAAUUUCGACAGGAGCCCGCACACGAGCGAAUCUGUGGAGUUCAUAGUCGAUUUCUCCGCUUCAGACAAGAGCCUUCAAGCUUUGAAAGAUGAAAUAAAAACGAACACAGGAUUAGAAUGGCAAGGAUUGCCCAAGUUCAAGCCAUGGUGAUCAACAGAAAGUGCAAAGUCUCUGAAUUUUUUAUGCGUUCUCCCAACAGAGAGAGAGAUGCAAAGUAUGUGGAAGUGAGAUUAAGAAGUGGAGCUUGUGCUAGAGAAAAGUAAGCUUUCAUGGAGGUCAAUGCAAGUUCGUUAGAGAAGAAAGAAGCAAAUGAAGUUGUCCUUCUGAUUCCAGAGGUUGAAUGUCAAAGAAGAGGUUCUUCACCAAAACCAAACACUGAGC